rnacentral:rRNA from 1 species
GGAAACAGAUGCUAAUACCGGAAUAAAAGCUACUUUCGCAUGAAAGAAGUUUAAAAGGCGGCGUAAGCUGUCGCUAAAGGAUGGACCUGCGAUGCAUUAGCUAGUUGGUAAGGUAACGGCUUACCAAGGCGAUGAUGCAUAGCCGAGUUGAGAGGACUGAUCGGCCACAUUGGGACUGAGACACGGCCCAAACUCCUACGGGAGGCAGCAGGG